UACGAAGGGGGCUAGCGUUGCUCGGAAUUACUGGGCGUAAAGCGCACGUAGGCGGCUUUCUAAGUCGGGGGUGAAAUCCUGGAGCUCAACUCCAGAACUGCCUUCGAUACUGGAAAGCUCGAGUCCGGGAGAGGUGAGUGGAACUGCGAGUGUAGAGGUGAAAUUCGUAGAUAUUCGCAAGAACACCAGUGGCGAAGGCGGCUCACUGGACUGGUAUUGACGCUGAGGUGCGAAAGCGUGGGGAGCAAACAGGG
rnacentral:rRNA from 1 species